AUUGAACGCUGGCGGCAUGCUUUACACAUGCAAGUCGAACGGUAACAGGGAGCUUGCUCCGCUGACGAGUGGCGAACGGGUGAGUAAUGCGUCGGAACGUGCCGAGUAGUGGGGGAUAACGCAUCGAAAGGUGUGCUAAUACCGCAUACGUACUGAGGUAGAAAGUGGGGGACCUUCGGGCCUCACGCUAUUCGAGCGGCCGACGUCUGAUUAGCUAGUUGGUGAGGUAAAGGCUCACCAAGGCGACGAUCAGUAGCGGGUCUGAGAGGAUGAUCCGCCACACUGGGACUGAGACACGGCCCAGACUCCUGCGGGAGGCAGCAGUGGGGAAUUUUGGACAAUGGGCGCAAGCCUGAUCCAGCCAUGCGGCGUGUCUGAAGAAGGCCUUCGGGUUGUAAAGGACUUUUGUCCGGGAGCAAAUGCCUGGUGUUAAUAGCACUGGGAGCUGAGAGUACCGGAAGAAUAAGCACCGGCUAACUACGUGCCAGCCGCCGCAGUAACAC
rnacentral:rRNA from 1 species